UGUUGCUUGCAAGGGCGUAUGGUGGAUGCCUUGGCAGACAGGACCGAUGAAGGACGUUUGAGGCUGCGAUAUGCCUCGGGGAGCCGCCAACAGGGCUUUGAUCCGAGGAUUUCCGAAUGGGGGAACCCACCGACCGUCAUGGGUCGGUACCGGCUUCGGCCGGGGGGUACGCAGGGAAGUGAAACAUCUCAGUACCUGCAGGAAAGGAUAUUCCGUGAGUAGUGGCGAGCGAAAGCGGAUGAUGGCCAAACCUUGCGCGUGUGAUACCCGUCGGGGGUUGCGCGCGGGGUGUUGCGGGAUCGCGUGCGCCGGCUCCGACGGGCCGGCCGGCAGUUGCAGAAAACCAUGUGUCAGGGGAACCGGGUUGAAUACCGGGCCGCAGAGGGUGAGGGCCCCGUACCUGAACGCGCAUGGUCUGCCGAUCGCGUCUCCCAAGUAGCACGGGUCCCGUGGAACCCCGUGCGAAUCCGCCCAGACCGUUGGGUAAGCCUGAAUAUUCCUGUCUGACCGAUAGCGAACGAGUACCGUGAGGGAAAGGUGAAAAGUACCCCGGGAGGGGAGUGAAACAGUCUCUGAAACCGUGCGCCUACAAUCCGUCGGAGCCCUUUUGUGGGGUGACGGCGUGCCUAUCGAAAAAUGAGUCUGCGAGUCAGUGGCAUGUGGCGAGCAUAACCCGUGUGGGGUAUGCGUAGCGAAGGCGAGUCUUAAAAGGCGUUUGAGUCGCGUGUCCUGGACCCGAAGCGGGAUGAUCUAGCCCUGAGCAGGUUGAAGCGCGGGUAAGACCGCGUGGAGGACCGAACCCACCUGGGUUGAAAACCGGGGGGAUGACUUGGGGCUAGGGGUGAAAGGCCAAUCAAAUUCCGUGAUAGCUGGUUCUCUCCGAAAUGCAUUUGGGUGCAGCGUCGGGUCAUUACGUCCCGGGGGUAGAGCUACUGGAUGCUUGCGGGCCCGUAUCGGGUACCAACAGCAACCAAACUCCGAAUACCGGUGACGCGUAUCCCGGCAGUGAGUCGGCGGGGGAUAAGCUUCGUCGUCGAAAGGGAAACAGCCCAGACCGUCGUCUAAGGUCCCGAAGCGUGUGCUAAGUGGGAAAGGAUGUGGAGUCGCAUAGACAGCCAGGAGGUUGGCUCAGAAGCAGCCACCCUUGAAAGAGUGCGUAACAGCUCACUGGUCUAGUGGUUCCGCGCCGACAAUGUAGCGGGGCUCAAGCACACCACCGAAGACGCGGCAGUAUUUUGUACUGGGUAGGAGAGCGUCCCAUGAGGGGCGAAGCGGCCGUGUGAACGCGCCGUGGACUUCAUGGGAGUGAGAAUGCAGACAUGAGUAGCGAGAGACGGGUGAAGAUCCCGUCCGCUGGAUGACCAAGGGUUCCAGGGCCACGUUCAUCGUCCCUGGGUGAGUCGGGUCCUAAGGCGAGGCCGACAGGCGUAGUCGAAUGGAUGAACGGGUCGAUAUUCCCGUACCGGCUUUCAGCCGCCAAAACCGAGGCUUGGAGUACUAACCUCCGGGUCCGGGCUUACUGCUCCUUCGGGGGCGGGAUGCCCUGGCCUGUUGGGACCGAUCCUUGUAGUAGGUCAGCGCAGGAGUGACGCAGAAGGGUAGCCGGCCGCGGAGGUGGUCUUCCGUGGUCAAGCACGCAGGGCGUGGGACAGGCAAAUCCGUCCCGCAUGGGUCCGAGGUGCGAUGAUGGGGGCCUUAUGGCCCGAUAUCCGGUGAUCCCGGCUGCCGAGAAAAGCUUCGGCGUCAGGCUCAAAGCCGCCCGUACCCCAAACCGACACUGGUGGUCAGGUAGAGAAUACCAAAGCGAUCGAGCGAAUCCUGGUCAAGGAACUCGGCAAAUCACUCCCGUUCCUUCGGUUUAAGGGAGACCCCCGAUGGUGAACACACUUGCUGUGGGAGCUUUUGGGGGUGGCACAGACCAGGGGGUAGCGACUGUUUACCAAAAACACAGGAGCGUGCGAAGGCGCAAGCCGCUGUAUACGCUCUGACGCCUGCCCGGUGCCGGAAGGUUAAGAGGAUCCGUCAGCCUUCGGGUGAAGCGGUGAAUUCAAGCCCCGGUAAACGGCGGUGGUAACUAUAACCAUCCUAAGGUAGCGAAAUUCCUUGUCGGGUAAGUUCCGACCUGCACGAAUGGCGUA
rnacentral:rRNA from 1 species